rnacentral:lncRNA from 1 species
GAGCUCGACCAUCAGGUCCAAAGGAGGCAAACAGCAUGUUAGUCCAAUAGAUAGAUAUGAAAUCGUAAAUCAUGCAACUAACAUUACCAUGCUUUUGCCUCACAACAUGCAAUAUGCAAAUUAUGCAACUCAUAUAGUAGAUUAAUUGCUUCUACACUUUAUUCUUAUUCAUUCUUUACUUUUAGCCAUUCUUUACGUUACUAGCUAUUCUUUAACAUUUACCUUUCUUUAUUCUUUAUUACUAGCCAAUCUUUAGCAUUAGCCCUUCUUUAUUCUUUAUUUUUUAUUCUUUAUUCUAAAGGUACUCACACCUUAGCCAU